AUUGAACGCUGGCGGCAUGCCUUACACAUGCAAGUCGAACGGUAACAGGUCUUCGGAUGCUGACGAGUGGCGAACGGGUGAGUAAUACAUCGGAACGUGCCCGAUCGUGGGGGAUAACGAGGCGAAAGCUUUGCUAAUACCGCAUACGAUCUACGGAUGAAAGCGGGGGAUCUUCGGACCUCGCGCGGCCGGAGCGGCCGAUGGCAGAUUAGGUAGUUGGUGGGAUAAAAGCUUACCAAGCCGACGAUCUGUAGCUGGUCUGAGAGGAUGAUCAGCCACACUGGGACUGAGACACGGCACAGACUCCUACGGGAGGCAGCAGUGGGGAAUUUUGGACAAUGGGCGAAAGCCUGAUCCAGCCAUGCCGCGUGCAGGAUGAAGGCCUUCGGGUUGUAAAAUGCUUUUGUACGGAACGAAAAGCCUCUUACUAAUAAAGAGGGGUCAUGACGGUACCGUAAGAAUAAGCACCGGCUAACUACGUG
rnacentral:rRNA from 1 species